rnacentral:rRNA from 1 species
UGGGGAAUCUUCCGCAAUGGACGAAAGUCUGACGGAGCAACGCCGCGUGAGUGAAGAAGGUUUUCGGAUCGUAAAACUCUGUCUUUUGGGGGCGAACGUGAGUAUGGUGAACAAUCAUAGUCAGUGACGGUACCAAAGGAGGAAGCCACGGCUAACUACGUGCCAGCAGCCGCGGUAAUACGUAGGUGGCAAGCGUUGUCCGGAAUUAUUGGGCGUAAAGAGCGCGUAGGCGGGAUAGUCAGUCUGUUGUAAAAGUGCGGGGCUCAACCCCGUGAUCGCAAUGGAAACAGCUAUUCUUGAGUGCAGGAGAGGAAAGUGGAAUUCCCAGUGUAGCGGUGAAAUGCGUAGAUAUUGGGAGGAACACCAGUGGCGAAGGCGACUUUCUGGACUGUGUCUGACGCUGAGGCGCGAAAGCCAGGGGAGCGAACGGGAUUAGAUACCCCGGUAGUCCUGGCCGUAAACGAUGGGUACUAGGUGUGGGAGGUAUCGACCCCUUCCGUGCCGGAGUUAACGCAAUAAGUACCCCGCCUGGGGAGUACGGUCGCAAGACUGAAACUUAAAUGAAUUGACGGGGGUCAUAGCUGUUUCCUG